rnacentral:rRNA from 1 species
UACGUAGGGUGCAAGCGUUAAUCGGAAUUACUGGGCGUAAAGCGUGCGCAGGCGGUUAUGCAAGACAGAUGUGAAAUCCCCGGGCUUAACCUGGGAACUGCAUUUGUGACUGCAUAGCUGGAGUACGGCAGAGGGGGAUGGAAUUCCGCGUGUAGCAGUGAAAUGCGUAGAGAUGUGGAGGAACACCGAUGGCGAAGGCAGCCCCCUGGGCUAACACUGACGCUCAUGCACGAAAGCGUGGGGAGCAAACAGG